rnacentral:rRNA from 1 species
AUGAUUUAGCUGUAAUUAUAGUAGAACAAGUUGGGAAGCUUGACGAUAGAGGGUGAUAGUCCCGUAUACGAAAUAAUCACAGUGGAACUAAGCAUACGAACAAGUAGGACGGGGCACGUGGAACCUUGUCUGAAUAUGGGGGGACCAUCCUCCAAGGCUAAAUACUCCUGAAUGACCGAUAGUGAACUAGUACCGUGAGGGAAAGGUGAAAAGAACCCUUAUAAAGGGAGUGAAAUAGAAUCUGAAACCGCUUGCAUACAAGCAGUAGGAGCAUGAUUUAGUCAUGUGACUGCGUACCUUUUGUAUAAUGGGUCAGCGAGUUAUUUUUAGUGGCGAGGAUAACUGAAUAAGGGAUCCGUAGCGAAAGCGAGUUUUAAUAGGGCGACUAGUCGCUAGGAGUAGACCCGAAACCGGCGCGAUCUAUCCAUGGCCAGGUUGAAGAUUAGG